rnacentral:lncRNA from 1 species
UACUCGGGAGGCUGAGGCAGGAGAAUGACGUGAACCCAGGAGGCCAAGCUUGCAGUGAGCUGAGAUCACACCACUGCACUCCAGCCUGGGGGACAGAGUGAGAAUCCAUCAAAAAAAAGAAACAAGAAUACAAUAGCACAAUUCAUGUGACAACCACAUGUAGGUUUAGUGAUGUUUGUUCUCUGUGAAGCUAAGCUAUCUCAGCUAGGUGGUUGAGGACAUUUGUACUGUCUGGACUAGGCAGAGGUGAAUAUGAUUGAAUGUGUAAGACAGUGCCAAUUAUGUACCAUAUAUAGCUGUGUGUGUUUCCUUCUGUCUAAAAUAUCAACCUAUGCUUGCCUUUAAUCUCAUCCUCAAUUGCAAUGCUCAAAACCCCUCCUAGUGUCAUUAUAUUGUCAAAAAAUACUCUGAAUCACAGGUUUAGAGAGAUAAAAAUUCUAACUUCUCUUAAAGAAACAACGUCUGAAAAUCUUUUCAUUUGUGUUGUUCCACAUGAAAUGACUUUAAGUGUUGAAUGUGCACAUUAUUCCUACAUUCUGAGACUUAGAUUUAUAGCUUAUGAGUUGUCCUUCUAAAGGUAUACUCUUCAUAUGCCAGUGACUCCCCAGCUUAUACAGCAGUUAUGCCUUAUUGGUGAGGGAUGCGUUCAAAGACUCCUUGUGGAUGCCUGAAACCUGUUACCAAACCCCAUAUAUCUCUAGUGCACAUCUAAAUCUGUGUUUAGACGAACAGAACCAGCUUUGUACCCGAUUAUCUUCACCAAGAUGUCUGACUUACGUAAAUCUCAAACUUGUCGUAUUUAACACAAAGUUCUUAAUUUCCUUCCUUUUUCAAGCCCACUUCUGCUGUGUUUUCUGUUUAAGUAAAUAACACUCAUCCAUUUAGUUAUGUCAAAAACCUAGGAAUUAUCCAUGACUUCUCUCUUACUCUUUCUGCACUUUAAAUGCAUCAGCUAGUACUGUCUUCAAGAAUGUAUCCUUUUUACCCAGUCCUCGCCAUCUCCUUUACUAUCCCCCUUGCCCAAGCCACUAUACUUUCAUCCUGCUGUGGAAGCAGUUUUCCAACCCUCCUUACUCUCCUUUUGACCACUUAAUAUACAUUCUUCACUAGCCAGAACAAUCUUUGAAAAAUGUAACCUACCAUAUGUCACUCCCCAUUUGAAAUGUUCCUAUUGGGAUUUUAAGAUGAUAUUAAAUACUCAUUUUCUCAGCUCUCAAGUCUGGAUUCAAUUGAGAGGCAGACAGAUUUGGGCAAAUGAGAUAAAAUAUUUGUUUUGUAUUGAUAAAUGGUUGGAUUGGCAGAUAUUGCCUUGUAUUGAGUAUGGUCGUAAAGACAUCACUAAUAUUUAACUUAUCUACCUAUUUAUUUUCCCUCACUUUGAAGUGUGGUUAGAAUUUGGAGGAAGCAAUUUCAUGAAGGUAGAAAUAAGAUUGCCCUCAUAAAAUAUGUUAUGUCCUCAUAAAAUAAAUAUUUAUAUAUUAUAUAUAAAAUAUAUAAAUUUAUUAUCUGAUCCUUCCCAAGAGAGAUUCCGCACCUCUGGUUGCCCUUAGGCUUAAUCAUUAAGCCAGAACCAUAAAGAGAACAAAAAACAUUACCUGUGCCCAACGUUUUAUGGCCUUUGUCACUCCUCAAGUAGUCUCUCCAAAGGAGGAAUGUCUGACGUGGUAAGUAAGUUUGAGAGGAAACUGGAUUUUGUUGGAUCCACCCCUUCUGAAGUCUCUUGUUGUCUUCCUCCCUCAAGAGAUGUCUGCCCUAUUUUCCACUUGUUUGGAAACUAUCUCCCCUGUCUGGUGUCCUUGCAGCUGUGCAUCUGUCAGUCUGUGCUGCUAAACUAUAAACCAGGUUCUUCCCAAAGUUAGUUCGGCUUACACCCAGGAAUGAGCAAGGACAGCUUGGAGGUUAAAAGCAAGAUACAGUCAGGAUGAGUACCUUCUCACUGCCAAAGUAGUUGGAGGGACAUCAAACACCAGUGAUGGGAACACUGAACCUCACAUAAGGGGCAAUGCAGCAUCUCUGCCUUCUUCUGGGUAUUCCUCUUAAAUGGCUUGACAAUAACCACCAACCAGCACUGCCAUACAUGUGUCCUGUACCUAUCAGAGGCACUAGGGCAGUUUUGGAACAGAGAGCCCAUAGAAAGGCUACUGCUUAGAGAUAGCCAUUUUCUUCUUGGAGCUGGACCAGUGAAUUAGACGCAUGGAGGAGAGCUGGAAAAUCCCUUUUUGGAAGAGCUACACAAAACCAAAAUUUGGAAUUCGUAGCUAAUAACCAUAAAAAUUAAGAAAUGACUGUUGGAAGAGCACUGGAAAUCACCUGAUUAAGUUAAGAAAAACUAACUAGCUCAUGAGAAAAUUAUUUUCAGGCCAGCUGUAGCCUGUACCCUUUUGAAAAUCCCCUGACUAGUGAGUUCAUUUUUGUUGGAAUAUAGAAUUUUUCUUUUCUAAGCAGAUGUAAACUUGUCUUUCUGUGGUUGGCUUUGGAGCCCACAAGAUAAUUAAAUGGCAGUGCUAACUGAAAGCCUGGGCUGUGCUUAUAGGUUCAAGAGGCAGGUAGAAGACACUGGGUUGGGGAAGUAGGGCUAUGGAACUGUGGCUCUGGCUAAGAUUACUAAUGUCUGUGAGCGCUGGAAGAAGGGAAAUAGAAAUGAAAAAACAUGAAUAUGGUUGAUGGGCCAGACUGAGUGUUGAGGUCCUAUGAUGUAUCAAAGAAUGGCUUACAUGAAAGUUAUAAGGUGUGGAUGGAAAAGGUCAGUGUGGAAGAGAACAGAAUUACUAGCUUUAAAGCUCAGAGACAUCUGCUUUUCAGGAAAAAAAAAUACAAAAGUCUAUGAGUGAAGGAAGGAGACUAAGAGAAAGAAAGGUGAGGAAAAGAGGAAGAGAAUAAAAAGGAACAGAAAUGAGAAAAAUAUGACACAAGAAAAAAAGAAAAAUUAGGAGGAAGGAAAGAAGAAAGGAAGGCAGAGAGGGAGGAAAGGAAGGAAGGAGACAGGGAGGAGAAACAGAAAAAGAGAGAAUGAAAGAAGUGGAAAUCAAGAAAGAAACAACAUAAGAUUCUACAGAGAGGACUCAUUAUAGGCAAAAUAAGUAAAAGAAAUUUCUUUUGGCAUUGUCCUAUCUCCCUUGCAUUCUCAUCUACUAAGCCUUUUCUUCCCUGUGGGCAAUAUUAUUGGCAUGAGUAAACUCUCACCUUAAUAUUCCUAAUAACCAUAAGUUUGUCCUCUACUCCCUAAAACUACUGCCGUGUGUGCCAUGCUCCAAAGUAAUCUCUUAUUCUCACUUCGUAACCUUUCAUCUCAGCUGUGUGUCAGUUAAGAAGAAUUUCAUCAAACUAAGCCUCUUGGAUUUUAAAAGAAUGCUCUUGCCCAGUUAUAUCUUUAGUUGGCAUCAUUUCAGGUAUGAAAAGGCUCUGCUCUAUGUGCCCUUAUCAAUCCUGAAAGAGCUAUCUCCCCAAGCAAAAUGAGAAGGACAAUCAUAACUGGCUCAAGGCUAGUCCAAUCUGGCUCUGUCCUUAGAUCCAAAAAGUUGAAGUUGUAAGUGACCCUAGAAAUGAUCUAUUUCACACUUAUUGUCCAGACAAUGAAACUCCAGUGGAGAGUGGAUAGGACCCUUCUAGGGUCGCAUGAUUGCUAGUGGCAAAGCCAGGUCUGAAUCAUAUCACUGCUUAUGGAGAACUUGUUGCCCUCACCAUUGUCCUCAAAUUUCUCCUGUUGACAGCAGGAUCCCUCAGAGAAAAGAUAGCUCCAGCCAAAGAACUCAGUGUAGCCCCAUGAACUCUCCAAAUAAUCAUAAACACAGCUAUAGUAGACAAGAAAGGCUAUCUUCUCAUGACCCUUUCUGUGGUUAAAAUCCUGAAAAACUGGGCACUACGGCUAUAUUCCAAACAUUCUUGCAAAUAGUAUUUCCAGACACAGACAAUGAUUCUCAGAGAUUCUCACCAUAGACGGUGAGGCAGGCCGUUCCUGAGAUCUUCCCAAAACCAAAGGUAUUGAAGAGACACAUGUAAC